CCCUUAACUAUUAAAAGUUUCCUUUUGGUCCCUUAACUUAUUUUUUGGUUUCGUUUUGGUCCCUUAACUCUUCCUCCGUCAACCACUUUGGUCCUUUAUGUUAGGAUGAAUGUAUUAGAGUUAAGGACCAAAAUUAAAUCAAAAAAUAAGUUAAGUGACCAAAUCGAAACCAAAAAAUAAGUUAAGGGACCAAAAUGAAACUUUUAAUAGUUAAGGGACCAAAACUAAACCAAAAAAUAAGUUAAGGGACCAAAACGAAACUUUUAAUAGUUAAGGGA
rnacentral:pre_miRNA from 1 species